AAGUAGCUUAAUUUCUACAACCUUCCAUCCUCGUUAAUCAAGUCAAACAACUUUUAAUGUUUCACCCAAGUUAGAGAGAAGCAAGAAGAUAAGAAGAAUACAUAUGAGGCCAGCAACGUUUGAGUUGAUACUCCUUAUGGUGUUGAGUGUAUUGAUGUGCUUGGCCACGGACAAGAAGACGCCUUCAUGGAUGAAAUGAAGAUAUGAAGAAAGAGCAGUUUCCAAACCAUAAAAAUGAAAACAAUAACCCGGGUUUUGCGUAUGGUGCAUGGAAGCAGUGUGAAUAAGCAUCAUUACAUCCCCAGGCAGAACUUCAACAUCAAUAUUGUUAUUGAUGUUGGUGAUAAAAUUAUAUGUUGUUUUCUUUUUGUUUGUUUGAGGCAGAAGGUAUAUCUUAGAUAUGGUUCAUUGAGGUCUAGAAAUUAAAUAGAAGAUACUAUGCCUUUGUAGCUUCGGUGUUGUGUACAGCUUGUCUUGUUCUAGUUCUAUCAACUACAGUUAUAAACCUAUCAGUUUCACUUGUCUAA